rnacentral:rRNA from 1 species
AUUGAACGCUGGCGGCAUGCCUUACACAUGCAAGUCGAACGGCAGCACGGGUGCUUGCACCUGGUGGCGAGUGGCGAACGGGUGAGUAAUAUAUCGGAACAUACCCUAGAGUGGGGGAUAACGUAGCGAAAGUUACGCUAAUACCGCAUACGAACUAAGGUUGAAAGUGGGGGAUCGCAAGACCUCAUGCUCAUGGAGUGGCCGAUAUCUGAUUAGCUAGUUGGUGAGGUAAAGGCUCACCAAGGCGACGAUCAGUAGCUGGUUUGAGAGAACGACCAGCCACACUGGAACUGAGACACGGUCCAGACUCCUACGGGAGGCAGCAGUGGGGAAUUUUGGACAAUGGGGGCAACCCUGAUCCAGCAAUGCCGCGUGAGUGAAGAAGGCCCUCGGGUUGUAAAGCUCUUUUGUCAGGGAAGAAACGGUCUACUCUAAUACAGUGGGCUAAUGACGGUACCUGAAGAAUAAGCACCGGCUAACUACGUG